UACGGAUGAUCCGAGCGUUAUCCGGAUUUAUUGGGUUUAAAGGGUGCGCAGGCGGGAGAUUAAGUCGGCGGUGAAAUUUUGCAGCUUAACUGUAAAAGUGCCAUCGAUACUGGUUUCCUUGAGUGUAGAUGAAGUAGGCGGAAUUUGUGGUGUAGCGGUGAAAUGCUUAGAUAUCACGAGGAACUCCGAUUGCGCAGGCAGCUUACUAAACCACUACUGACGCUCAUGCACGAAGGCGUGGGGAUCAAACAGGAUUAGAUA
rnacentral:rRNA from 1 species